rnacentral:lncRNA from 1 species
CAAAAUAGCUCCUCCAAUAAAAUGCCAUUUGGAAAAAUUAAGCUGUACAAUCAUUCACUAAAGAAAUUUCUAAUGUCCCUAACUAUUAAAUCUUUAAACGUGGAUCAAUAGAGUACACUACGCAUUGACAGGACAAUGGAGAGGUUGAAGCAGGGCACCCCGUGCUUUCUGCAGGCACCAUGCACCUCCACUCUGGAGACGUGGAGGGGUGCAGGUGGGCAGCAUCUACAUAGCCAUACGCUGGGAAAGACUCUCGGGGUCCAGAGGAGGCGGGCAGGGCACAACGCAGUGUGAAGUCAGAGUCCCUGGGGGAGCAUCAUGACCAACGUGCAAAGUGGAUUUUCUUGAAAGCACAAAUUAAUGCUCCUAUUUGCAGAGCAGAUGCUCAUACACACGGCAGUCGAGGAGGCUUUCUCUUCUUUUCGGUGUGCUCUGUGUUGAGUUGUGCUAAGAAGGAAGCAAUGCCAGUCGCUGCCUUGCCCAUUGGCCCUUUGGUCCGCGACUCAAGGUGGUGAUGCUCUGGGUCUAAUAGAGUCCACAGCAAGUCAGACUGCACAACUCUCUGCUCAUGAGUCUCAUUAAACUGACUAAAAGCUAGAGCUGUAAUCCCAGGACUCGGGAGGCUGAGGCAGGAGGAUGCCACAAUUGCAAGGCCAAUGGGUGAGUUCGAGGCCAGCCUGAACUACACAGUGAGACCUUAUCUCAAAACACCAAGGGAACUACAUAAAUACACUAGGCAUUCCUAGAGCAGCAUGAUUUAUUAUAAGUGAAUGUCUACUGGGGCUUUUUAGUAACAGGGUUUUAAGUAAAAAGAAGAUGACACAAGAUACAUGUUGUUUGGCUAUUUUAAAACUAUUAAACUGAAUUUGCUAAUGGCUGUGAAUAUGAUGGUCAACUCCAGCUGAUUAAUGAACAAAUGCAAAAACCAGGCAACUGAUCCCAAGAACCCUUCUCCUCUGUGGCGACGUAAUGAGGUCAAACACUGGGAAAGAUGCUCAGCUGUGACAGGGCCAGGCCAUCUGCCGUUAGUUGUGAGGCAGCAGCAGGACGCAUCCCACUUCCUCACCCACCCUGCACCUGACACGGGGCAGCGACAGAAGCAGGACUCGGCCGUUGGCAGAGACGCGCGCGCCCAGCAGCUGCACGGGACCCCACUGCCUUGCUCCACACGGACCGCGCACUCCAGGCCGGCCGUUCACCUGAUGACUCUGCCAAUCACAGGAAGCGGAGGAAGAGCCAGUACAUACUUUUCAUCUGUUGAUGGACACUCCAAGAUAUACCUAUUAUGGAUUGUGGGGCUAUAAACAUGGAUAUGCUUGGAUCUACUCUAAUGUGAUGCCCUUAACUCUGUCUUGAAGAUAUCCAGAAGAGGUACAGGUGGGUCAAAUGGAAUUUCUAGUUUUAGUUUUUGAGGAA